UACGAAGGGGGCUAGCGUUGCUCGGAAUCACUGGGCGUAAAGCGCUCGUAGGCGGAUCGUUAAGUCAGGGGUGAAAUCCUGGAGCUCAACUCCAGAACUGCCUUUGAUACUGGCGAUCUCGAGUUCGGGAGAGGUGAGUGGAACUGCGAGUGUAGAGGUGAAAUUCGUAGAUAUUCGCAAGAACACCAGUGGCGAAGGCGGCUCACUGGCCCGAUACUGACGCUGAGGUGCGAAAGCGUGGGGAGCAAACAGG
rnacentral:rRNA from 1 species